rnacentral:tRNA from 1 species
GGGAGUGGAUGGGGCCCGGUGGCUUUCGCGGUCUUCAAAACCGUUGCGGGGCUAGCAGCCUAGUCCUGGGAGGGUUCGACUCCCUCGCACUCCCGCCA